GACAUAGGGCGCGAACGUUAUCCGGAAUUAUUGGGCGUAAAGGAUGCGUAGAUGGUUCAGUAAGUUACUGGUGGGAAAUCGAGGCCUAACCUCGUGGAAGUCAGUAAUACUGUUGAACUUGAGUGCAGGAGAGGUUAACGGAACUUCAUGUGGAGCGGUAAAAUGCGUAGAUAUAUGAAAGAACAUCAAUAUGGCGAAGGCAGUUAACUAUUCUGCUACUGACAUUAAGGCAUGAAAGCGUGGGGAGCAAAACGG
rnacentral:rRNA from 1 species